rnacentral:rRNA from 1 species
UACGUAGGGGGCUAGCGUUGUCCGGAAUCAUUGGGCGUAAAGCGCGUGUAGGCGGUCCGGUAAGUCCGCUGUGAAAGUCGGGGGCUCAACCCUCGAAUGCCGGUGGAUACUGCCGGGCUAGAGUGCGGAAGAGGCGAGUGGAAUUCCUGGUGUAGCGGUGAAAUGCGUAGAUAUCAGGAGGAACACCAGUGGCGAAGGCGGCACUCUGGGCCGGUACUGACGCUGAGGAGCGAAAGCGUGGGGAGCGAACAGG